GUGCUUGCUCCAGCAGCACAUACCCUAGAAUUGGAGCGAUACAGAGAAGCACGCCCCCGCAAGGAUGACACACACAUUCAUGAGGCAUUCCGUAUUUCC
ensembl:snRNA U6 U6 spliceosomal RNA